UUAAGACAUGAUCCCUCGAAUUCUCGAAAACUAGAAUAAAUGUCAUUUGAUUGUUACCUAAAUUUUCUUUUUUAUUAUUUUAAAUAGGUUAUUCAAUUACUUCGUUUCUAGGGAAAUGCCAUACUCCGUAAGUUAGGAACACAGCUUCUCCGAAUGCCAAAAAUAACGAACAUUGCCUCGAUUUUAAAUUUUUUUUAUGCAUUAGAUAAAACAAAUGUAACUUUUAAAAUGAGGUAUAUUUAAUUUAUUUGGGCAUAAUGUAAAAAAAAAUGAUAAACAUUGUGAUAGCAAAAUAAAAUGGAAUAAUCAUGUAUGUAAAAAAAAAUGAAAUGGUGAUUGUACAAGCCCAAUUUUGGACCCAAACCCUAGCCCAAUACAUUAAAGAAAAAAAAGGGCAAAACCUAAAACCCUAGCCGUUCAACCACUUGCCCCUGUCCCAUCCACUACCGCCUCUGCUCCACCACCGUUUGUCUGCAGCAACAAUGGAAGAAUAGAUAGAUAUUAAAAUAAAAAAAAGGAAAUGAAAUGGCUAAAAAAAGCCAAGCAAAACCAUUGUAAGGGGGAGUUUUUUGGAUGAGAAAUAAAAGCAAUAUUUGAUUUUAAACAAACAAGAAUCAGUGAUUCAAAGGCAUGAAAUAGCCAACCAAAAGAAAAACACUAAAUCGGAAAAUACAUACCAAGAAUCAGACAUCUAAAGACCAAGGUGAUUUCAUUCUAUACCUUUUCGGCUUCUUUCUUUUUUUUUAUUUUUUUUCGAAUCUCCUAUUUGCAUAUAUAUUAUAAAUACAUCAAAAAAUAUAUAAGAUAAUAUCUAUAAAAAAAAGAAAAAAAAGAGAGAACUUUACCUUUUCCGGCAACCGUUCACGGUGGCCGGCGACUGUGCCUGCGACGGUGGAGCCCCGGUAUCAUGGUGGUCCGGCGACCAAUCUCGGGCCAGAGAGGGGGCUGAGAGAAAGUGAGAGAGAGAGCAUUCUCUGAUUUUUUUUUAAGUGGGAAGUAAAAUGAUUUUUUUUGAAGAUUUGUUGGGUUUUAU
rnacentral:lncRNA from 1 species